GACAGAGGAUGCAAGCGUUAUCCGGAAUGAUUGGGCGUAAAGCGUCUGUAGGUGGCUUUUCAAGUCCGCCGUCAAAUCCCAGGGCUCAACCCUGGACAGGCGGUGGAAACUACCAAGCUGGAGUACGGUAGGGGCAGAGGGAAUUUCCGGUGGAGCGGUGAAAUGCAUUGAGAUCGGAAGAACACCAACGGCGAAAGCAGCUACUGCUGGGCCGACACUGACACUGAGAGACGAAGCUAGG
rnacentral:rRNA from 1 species